UCUGAUGUGAAAGCCCACGGCUCAACCGUGGAGGGUCAUUGGAAACUGGGGAACUUGAGGACAGAAGAGGAGAGUGGAAUUCCACGUGUAGCGGUGAAAUGCGUAGAUAUGCUGGAGGAACACCAGUGGCGAAGGCGACUCUCUGGUCUGUUUCUGACGCUGAGGUGCGAAAGCGUGGGUAGCAAACAGGAUUAAAUACCCUGGUAGUCCACGCCGUAAACGAUGAGUGCUAGGUGUUAGGGGGCUUCCACCCCUUAUGGCUGAAGUUAACGCAUUAAUCACUCCGCCUGGGGAGUACGGCCGCAAGGCUGAAACUCAAAGGAAUUGACGGGGGCCCGCACAAGCGGUGGAGCAUGUGGUUUAAUUCAAACCAACGCGAAAAACUUUACCAGGUCUUGACAUCCUUGGACAAUCCUAAAGAUAGGACUUUCCCUUCGGGGACCAAGUGACAGGUGGUGCAUGGUUGUCGUCAGCUCGUGUCGUGAGAUGUUGGGUUAACGUCCCGCAACGAGCGCAACCCCUAAUCUUAUUUGCCAGCAUUCAGUUGGGCACUCUAAGGUGACUGCC
rnacentral:rRNA from 1 species